UUCAUCGCCAAGUCAACUGGCAUCAACGCUGACGGUAACCUCAUGAAGCGCAACGGCCAGAUUCUCCCCAUGCCUCUUGGGACCCUCACCUCUCCGUCGACUACGAAGGAUCUUGGAUCGCUCCCUAUGUCAUCCUCGACACGGAUUACGAGAACUUCUCGUGCAUCUACUCCUGCACCGAAUACAACUUCGGAUACUACUCCGACUUCUCCUUCAUCUUCUCCCGCUCGCCAAGCCUUUCUGACCAAUACCUGAGACGCUGCGAGGCCGCCUUUAGGGAGAUCGGCGUCGACGUCUCUCGUUUCGCGAAGACAGUCCAGGGUUCUGACUGCCCUUAUGACACCCAGAAAUCUUUGUAGAUACGCUUUAAUUUUAAAUAUAUAUUAAUAAAUACAAAUACACAUACACGCAUAAAUAUGUAUGCAAGUACAAUGAAUAUAACUUUGACACGAUUUAUCUUUUUAUAUAUAUAUUAAAAAAAAUCACUUA